rnacentral:rRNA from 1 species
GGACCCGCACAAGCAGCGGAGCAUGUGGUUUAAUUCGAAGCAACGCGAAGAACCUUACCAGGGCUUGACAUCCCUCUGACAGGCAUUUAACAGUGCCUUUCUUCGGACAGAGGUGACAGGUGGUGCAUGGUUGUCGUCAGCUCGUGUCGUGAGAUGUUGGGUUAAGUCCCGCAACGAGCGCAACCCUUGUCUUUAGUUGCCAGCAGGUUAAGCUGGGCACUCUAAAGAGACUGCCGGGGAUAACUCGGAGGAAGGUGGGGAUGACGUCAAAUCAUCAUGCCCCUUAUGUUCUGGGCUACACACGUGCUACAAUGGCCGGCACAAUGGGAAGCAAUACAGUGAUGUGGAGCAAAUCACCAAAACCGGUCCCAGUUCGGAUUGUAGGCUGAAACUCGCCUGCAUGAAGUUGGAGUUGCUAGUAAUCGCAGAUCAGAAUGCUG